UACGGGGGGGGCAAGCGUUGUUCGGAAUUACUGGGCGUAAAGAGCUCGUAGGCGGUUCGUCGCGUCGGCUGUGAAAUCCCGAGGCUCAACCUCGGGUCUGCAGUCGAUACGGGCGGACUGGAGUUCGGCAGGGGAGACUGGAAUUCCUGGUGUAGCGGUGAAAUGCGCAGAUAUCAGGAGGAACACCGGUGGCGAAGGCGGGUCUCUGGGCAGUAACUGACGCUGAGGAGCGAAAGCGUGGGGAGCGAACAGG
rnacentral:rRNA from 1 species